AGAAUCAACGCUGGCGGCGUGCCUAACACAUGCAAGUCGCACGAGAAAGGGACUUCGGUCCUGAGUAAAGUGGCGCACGGGUGAGUAACACGUGAAUUAUCUACCUCCGAGUGGGGAAUAACUGAGAGAAAUCUUAGCUAAUACCGCAUAACACUUACGAGUCAAAGCAGUAAUGCGCUUGGAGAGGAGUUCGCGGCCGAUUAGUUAGUUGGCGGGGUAAUGGCCCACCAAGACGAUGAUCGGUAUCCGGCCUGAGAGGGCGCGACGGACGACGACUGGAACUGAACACGGUCCAGACUCCUACGGGAGGCAGCAGUGGGGAAUUUUGCGCAAUGGGGGAAACCCUGACGCAGCAACGCCGCGUGGAGGAUGAAGUAUCUCGGUACGUAAACUCCUUUCGAUAGGGAAGAUAAUGACGGUACCUAUAGAAGAAGCCCCGGCUAACUACGUGCCAGCAGCCGC
rnacentral:rRNA from 1 species